AGAGUUUGAUCCUGGCUCAGGACGAACGCUGGCGGCGUGCUUAACACAUGCAAGUCACGGGGGGCUCGCAAGAGUCAACCGGCGAACGGGUGCGUAACACGUAAGCGACCUGCCCUGGAGUGGGGGAUAGCCGGCCCAACGGCCGGGUAAUACCGCAUACGACGGUCUGGGGGCAUAUCCGGACUGUGAAACCUGCGGGGCUCUGGGAGGGGCUUGCGGCCUAUCAGCUAGUUGGCGGGGUAACGGCCCACCAAGGCGAUGACGGGUAGCUGGUCUGAGAGGAUGGCCAGCCACAUUGGGACUGAGAGACGGCCCAGACUCCUACGGGAGGCAGCAGUGGGGAAUCUUGCGCAAUGGUCCG
rnacentral:rRNA from 1 species